CUCAGCCAUUAAUAUUAACAUAACUCGGCCGUUAAUAUUUUGGGUUUUAUCAUGGCCCAUUGAGAUUUAGGUUUGAUACUUUGGGACGGCUGAGUGUGGAAAAUACGGCUCAGAACUAAUAUCGAGGCUUUUAUAACAUCAAGACGAUACUUUAGUAUUUAAAAACUGAUUUAACAUUCACGGUAAUCCUUUUUAUAAUAUUAAACGCCUUAUAAUAAUGGGACAUUUCGUCUUUCUUGAUUUGAAGGCUCAGAACUAAUAUCGAGGCCAUUUAUAACAUGGAGACGAUAAUCACGAGGAGUUAAAAAAUUAAAUAAGGAAGAAAUUAAUGAUAACUCAAUCGUAAUAUGAAAACAUUAAAAUCCAUUCCUCAGCCGUUAUACUAAUCAAGAAAACAAAAUAUAAUCGUAACAUGUUUAUAUAACUCAGUCGUAAUGUAAAACAUUAAAACCCAAAACCCAGCCGUAAUACAAAAAAAUUUAAACCCAAUUCUUUUAAUCGUCUCUCUUGCUCUGUCAUUCUGAUUCAUUUCGUCAUCCUUGUUCUCCGGAAACUGGUGGAGUGUUGUUCAUUGAAUACAUAUCUGUUGUUGUGAAUUCAAUCUGUUGUUCUCAAUUCAUUCAAUCUGUAAUCAUUGAGUACAGACUUUGCGAAUUCUUCAUGUCGGCGUUGAAUACAUAUCUAUUUUCUUAAUCCAGUUACCAUAAACAAUAAUUACCGGAUCCAUAAGAUCUCGGAGAAAGAUGAAGAAUAAGAUGAAGAAGAUAGAUAUAUAGAUAGAUGAAGAAGAAGAUGAACAGACAGACAAACGUAGUUGUAAAGUAGUUCGUUAGCAAUGACAUGGCAAAUCCAAGUUGAUGACAUGGCGGAUGACAUGGAAAAUAGGUUAAUCAGCCGACAAACAAAUAUAUAACUCAGCCUACGUAAAUCAGCUCUCAUCUACAAUGUAAGUCAGCCGAACCAAGAAAAUAUUUCAGUAAUUAAUCUUUUGAUCCUUAAUCAGCCGUAAUUAAGAUGAAAAACAAUAAAUCAGCCGUAUCGUCACAUAGAUCAGCCAUCAAACGAAUGAUAUUCUAGUAAUUAAUCUUUCCCUAAUAAGUCAGCCGUAACCGAGCUGAGUUUACUAUUAAUCCAUCCUAUUACGGCCAACUUAUCAUAAACUCAGCCGUAACAACAUCACAUUAGUCAGCCGUAAAUUAUAUAACUUAGCCAGUCGGUAUUCAUUAACUCAGCCGGGAAAACAUAACCCAGCCGUCUCUUAGUUACAACUCAGCCAAAUUUCCAGAAAACAAACCGCCGAUGUAUAAGUCAGCCGUAACCUUUGUUUGUAAGUCAGCCUAUUUCUCAUAAAUCAGCCACAAUUUUAUAAUUCAGCCAUACCUUUUGGCUGAUUUAUGUUCUUAAGUCAGUCUUUUCCUCUUAACUCAGCCGCAUUUGUUUAUUCAACCGACAUGUAGAUAUAAAUCAGCCGUAACGACGUAUGUAGCGAAUUACGGCUGGCUUAAUGAAAACACGGAACAUAAUUCCUACGUGGCGCCGGAUUUUUGCUUAUGUGGCAGCGAAAAGUAAUGACAUUCCUGUAAAUAUGUUUUUUUUCAUAACAUAAAAAAAGGGCACGCUUGAUAUUUUAAAAAUGCCAGUAAUAAAAAAAGAUCUUUAUGGUUCUUGUCAAUUGUCCUAAAAUUGUAUAUAUCUGAGUAAACUGCCCUUCUUUAAAUGCAGAUCAAUUAUCCAUUCAAUGAAGGCGCGAGAUCUUGUGCACUUCUCUCUCUCUGCAUUUGUGUAAACCCGUGAAUCAAUCCAAGAUCCAGCCAACAUAAUGGUAACACUACAAAAAAAAGUCUACAUUGAUAGCAGAUUGUUAUAGCACGUUUUACUAAACUGUUAUCGUAGAUGAUUUCGAAAUUUCCGGAUUUAUAUAAUAGCGUUAGAUAAACGCUAUGAUAGAAAAUAACAUAAAUAGCACUUAAUUAAUAAUAUUUGGAAAAUUAAGUGAGGGGGAAGACAAAAUUAUUGAUUCCACCAAUACUUCGCGGAAAAGUAGACUUAAGCACCAAAAAUAUUGUUUAAGCGGCUUCAGUAAUAUGCUAUCAAAACAUAUAAUAGCAUUUUUCUAACACUAAAAAAGCUAUUUGAACCCCUAAACUUUAAACAUGGUUUUAGACCCUAAACUCUAAAGAAAACCCUUAAAACUUUAAUCUUUUUCAUAUUAUAACUUCAAAUCUUAAAAUUAAACUUAAAAUUAGUCUUUUUAAUCUUAAACUAUAAUUUUCUAAACACAAAUCUUUAAUCAAAAUCUAUAUCCUAUAAAUUUCAAAUCAAACUAUUAAAAUUUAACUACAAAUCUUAUAUCUAGUCUUCAAAUUAGUUAUUUCCAACUUUAAUACAAAAUACUAACCUUAUAGCAUACUCUAAACUCUAAACUCCAAAACUUAACCUCAAACCACAUACAACAUUUCAAACCCCGUACACUACAAACCUUAAGCCAUAAAUUUUAAAUAGAAUAUAUUUCCUCUACAAACCAUAUAUCAUACUUCAAACACUAAACCCCAAAACUUAUCCUCAAACCACAUACAAUACUUCAAACCCUAUAUACUACAAACUUCAAACCAUAAAUUUGAAAUAAUAUAUAUUUAUUUCCUCUACAAACAUUAUAUCAUAUUUCAAAUCUUAAACCCCAAAACUUAACCUCAAACCACAUACACUACUUCAAAUCCUAUACGCUACAAACCUUAAACCAUAAAUUUAAAAUAAAAUAUAUUUCCUCUAACAUAUGUAUACCCCAUACUAUAUACAUACACCAAAUUCUAAAUUACACAAACCAAUCAAUAGUUUUAUUUAAUUUUAAAUGUUAUAAAAAGUGAAAUCUAAUCAUUUUAUUGAUUUUAUAUCAUUACUUUUAUAAUGUAAAUGAAUAACUUAAUUUUUAUAUAAACAAAACUACUCAAAAAUAUAAUUAACAUUAGUAAAAUAACUAUUAAAUAAAAUAACAGUUUUAUACUUAUUGAUUAAUUUUGAUCAUAGAUUGACUUUAAUCAAAUGGUCACAAAUGAACCUUGUGGUUAUCCUCAUGCUUCUUUCCUAUUGGUCAAUUUUGUUAAGACGAGGAUUGCACUUCUCUCUCUUUCCUCUCUCACGACGUCUCAUCUCUUCUCUCUCUUUCCUCUCUCACGACAAGGAUUAGAUCUGAAGUUGAUUGGAGUUUUGAGUCCAAGAGUCGAGAGAAGAAGAAUCAUGGAGAGUACGACCAAGUCUCUGAAACUUGCCUCCGUACGUCUCCUCUCAACACGUCACCACCACCACCACCGAGGCGCUCGUUACCACCACCGAGGCGCUCGUUACCACCACCACUCCCUUCGAUUCCGGCGCACACUUCACCACCACUAAGCUAAAGAAGGUGGAGGAGGCUGAAGAAGCUUGAUGGUGGUGGUCUCAAGGUCGACAAUGGUGGCUGAGCGUGAUGGUUUGAUGACUUGGUGAUAUCAUGCUGUUGACGAUGGCAGAGAGAGAGAGAGUGAUGACGGUGGCGAGGACAGCGGAUGGUGGCGAGGGUGGAGGAGGACAGCAUAUGGUGGCGAGUUUGGAUCGUGGAUGGUGGCUGAAGCUUUGUGAAGGUGGCGAUGGCGGCUGAAGCGUCUAGGUUUAGAUUUAGGUUUAGGUUUAGUUAAUCAAUUGGUUUAGUUAGUUAAGAGUAGAGUAAUAUAUUUAUGUAUUAUUGGUUUAGUUUUGUAAACCAAAAUUUAUUGUAAACUAAAUUUAAUUUAUAAAUAAAAUUUAUUUUAUUUUUAA